GGUGCUUGCUUCAGUAGCACCAUAUACUAAAAUUGGAAUGAUACAGAGAAGGUUAGCAUGGCCCCUGCGCAAGGAUGACAUGCAAAUUUGUGAAGCAUUCCACAUUUUU
rfam:Otolemur garnettii contig019402, whole genome shotgun sequence.